rnacentral:rRNA from 1 species
GGCGGCAGGCCUAACACAUGCAAGUCGAGCGGUAGCACAAGAGAGCUUGCUCUCUGGGUGACGAGCGGCGGACGGGUGAGUAAUGUCUGGGAAACUGCCUGAUGGCGGGGGAUAACUAGUGGAAACGGUAGCUAAUACCGCAUAACGUCGCAAGACCAAAGUGGGGGACCUUCGGGCCUCACGCCAUCAGAUGUGCCCAGGUGGGAUUAGCUGGUAGGUGGGGUAACGGCUCACCUAGGCGACGAUCCCUAGCUGGUCUGAGAGGAUGACCAGCCACACUGGAACUGAGACACGGUCCAGACUCCUACGGGAGGCAGCAGUGGGGAAUAUUGCACAAUGGGCGCAAGCCUGAUGCAGCCAUGCCGCGUGUGUGAAGAAGGCCUUCGGGUUGUAAAGCAC